GAUGAAGAACGUAGCGAAAUGCGAUAAGUAGUGUGAAUUGCAGAAUUCCGUGAAUCAUCGAAUCUUUGAACGCACAUUGCGCCUUCUGGUAUUCCGGAAGGCAUGCCUGUUCGAGAGUCAUUAACAACCGUUUCGAUCCCUUUCUUUCAGAAAUUACAAAGAGGAAAAGGGUUUGGUUAUGGUGGAGGAGGGAAAGGGAGCGUUUAGCCUGUAAAAAAAGAGGCUGUGUUCCGCCUCCCCCCCAAAAUUGUACAGGCGGUCGUGUGCGCCCACGCAUCGAGGUGUUGUAAAAGCUGCCACGGCACUUUUCACCUGUGCAGUGCGAGAUUGGCCAGCCGGUUUAAAAACCCCUCCAAACAAUCAAAGGUUGACCUCGGAUCAGGUAGGGAUACCCGCUGAACUUAAGCAUGUCAAUAAGCGGAGGA
rnacentral:misc_RNA from 1 species